GUGCUCUCUUUGGCAGCACAUAUACUAAAAUUGGAAUGAUACAGAGAUUAGCAUGGUCUUUGCUCAAGGUUGACAUGCAAAUUUGUGAAGUGUUCCAUAUUUGA